UCUUCCCUUGGUAUGAAAAUCGAGGGGAGGGGGAAGAAGGACAGAGAAGAGAGUCAUCGAAUUUUACGACGUCGUAUCGGUGCAAUAUUCCUUUCGGUGGAUGGGGGAGCCGCAUCCUUCCCAGUCUCUCGCUUUAAAGCGCGCCGUUAAAUGCGAAAAUAGGGUAAACUUCUCGUCAACGCGUACCGUCUUGAUUCGAAAAUAUCCCGAGGCGAGGAGGGUGGUGUUCGAUGCAAGAGGCGAGGAACGGCGGAAUCAAAUAAAUAUACAAUCAGAAAAAGGAGGAGGGCGGCUCCACUUUGAACCAACGCUCGGCGACUCCAACCCUCUUCGACUAAAUUUAUCCUCCUCCCCCGUGUUUGCUCGCCGACUAUUUAUUCUCUACAUUUAUGGAAUAUCUGAACUGUAACUACCCUAAAUAAUUUCCGACCUCGAAGGGGGAUGGAAAUGGGGAUCUCGAAAUUGGAGGAAAAAACAAGGAGCAAGACAUCUCUCGAAGCGGAAAAUCGUAUGCGCACGCCUUGUAAAAGUAUCCAAGGGGAGGAGAUUAGUUAACAAGAUUACUUACGACUGUCAGCGCUCUGUAAGCAAGUUUCUGAAUAGGGGUAUGGCGGCGGGUUGUGGCGCGGAUGAUCUACUAUGCAGUCAGCCAGCCAUGUCAACGAUAUACAUUCAGCCCCGGCCCGUGGUGCAAGUAGGGCUGCAAUGUCUGCGAAACGGUAAUGGAACGGCAAACGACCUGGGAUUUACCCCUUGGAACAUUCUAACAAAGCUCUAGGCCACCGCAGCCACCUACCACGAAGAGAGGGAGAAAAAAAAUUGAACGGGUGGGAUGCUUGCAUGCUAUCUUCGACUCGAGUGGAUCCAGUUCGAAUCCUGUCGAGAUGAAUUUUAAAUCUUUGCUAAUCUCCGUUUCGACGACGAUCAAUCGAAAAU